UACGUAGGGGGCGAGCGUUGUCCGGAAUCAUUGGGCGUAAAGAGCUCGUAGGCGGUUCAGCAAGUCGGCUGUGAAAUUCCGAGGCUCAACCUCGGAACUGCAGUCGAUACUGCUGUGACUCGAGUCCGGUAGAGGAGAAUGGAAUUCCCGGUGUAGCGGUGAAAUGCGCAGAUAUCGGGAGGAACACCAGUGGCGAAGGCGGCCUUCUGGACAGUGACUGACGCUGAGACGCGAAAGCGUGGGGAGCAAACAGG
rnacentral:rRNA from 1 species